UACGUAGGGGGCGAGCGUUAUCCGGAUUCACUGGGUGUAAAGGGAGCGUAGACGGCCAUGCAAGCCAGGGGUGAAAGCCCGGGGCCCAACCCCGGGACUGCCCUUGGAACUGCAUGGCUGGAGUGCGGGAGGGGCAGGCGGAACUCCCGGUGUAGCGGUGAAAUGCGUAGAUAUCAGGAGGAACACCGGCGGCGAAGGCGGCCUGCUGGACCGCGACUGACGUUGAGGCUCGAAAGCGUGGGGAGCGAACAGG
rnacentral:rRNA from 1 species